UAGAGGAGAGCCUCAUUUUAAUCCCAGCUACAGCUGUGACUUAGAAAUAAUAGUGAGGAUAACUAAGAUAACUGUUGGCUAGGUAUUUAAUUAGCUAAGACUUUUUGAAACGCUCUUACAGAUAAUUCAGAAAUAUCUUCCACAGUAACAGAAAUUGGGGUGGGAGGAAGGCUGAUAGUAUUGUUUUCAUGUCUACAUUAGAUACAAAAUAACCUACUCUUUACUUUAAGGGCCCUGAGGUUCCCCUCUCCCAGGAAGUUCAGAUGUUUUGGCUUAGGGUCUUUUAGAGAUAGGACAACUGAGAGCAGCCCUCUUCCUCUGGUGAUUGUGGAGUGACCUCUGUGCUGAUUUUACUGAAAGAAAUACCUAAAAUAGGAACUAUAUCUGUAGCUAGUAACCCUCUAAAUAUAUAUUAGAAAGGAAACUGCAUUCAUGAACUUUAGUCUCCUGGGCACUUGGAUAUGCCUCUUGUGGUGCAGCUGAAUCCAUUGAAGAGACUGCUCUUCUCAGCUACUCCUCAGCACCUUCUGGCUGAAAGUUACCUUCCCUCCUCUCAGCCUUCAGCAAAUAGAAGAAAGUAGGAACAGCCAGGGAUGGUGUCUUGAAGAAAAACAUAGAUGAAAAUGAGGGAUUAAUGUUGUCAUGUUGACAUAUUCAAGACAAAAGAAAGCAUUUUUAUUUUCCC
ensembl:lncRNA